GUCCCUAUAGCGCGAUGGAUAACGCGUUGGACUUUUAAUUCAAAGGCUUCGAAUUUCACCUGGGAUG
rnacentral:tRNA from 1 species